GAAAUUCUAUUAUUGCAGUGUAGGGAAGGGCAUGGUAAAAUGAAAACAGGACAGCCAGACAAGCCUGUGUAUGAGUCAAACGGAUUUGCAUAUGAAUGGAGUGGAAAUUAGUUGACUUCGUGAUCUGUAAGCAACCAAAAACAGAGUGGCAGAUUCUGGAGUUGCUGUGGAGAAACUUUGAAAAGAAACGAUGGAGCUGGAGUCCUACAUGGAGGUGAUGUGAGGGCUUCCAGCCCCAGGUCGGCACAAACUGUCCCAUUGGCAGCCUGCAUCCAUCUGGCUGGUGGGGUUAGAUCCAGACCCGCCUCUACCUUUGGAGCUAUCUGCACUGUAUGGAGCAUGGCCAAGCAUUGGAUUCAGAGGCCUGUUGGCAUGCUGAGCUGAACUAACUGGUCAUUGAUAUUCAUAUCUGGUUUCUGCUGGACCAAGGUGAUGAUGUCCUGCUUAACGACCCCAACAUUAUAAUCAGGUCCUACUCACUGUAUGGUUCCAGACCGAACGGUUGCCUUGGCAACAACCAGUCUACCCACACAACGUUGUAUCACUGUGGAACAUUUAUGACUGGAUGAACUGUAGAUCAAGUGUCUAUCCAUGAUAUUCCUUGUGGGGAAAAAUAGGAGGAUAGUGACCCUUUGUUACGUGAACACUUACAGAAAUAGACUUAAAAUUUGCAUUUGCAUGUCAAUCAAUGGAAAGAAAUGACCUUUCAUCAGAUAAGGUCAAGGGUUCGUUGAUCUUUCUGUCUGAACAGUGAGGAUGAAUAGUGUCUGAGUUCAACAGUGGGUGGAAUGAGAGGAGAAGGAAUGGAGAAAGUGAACAGGAAUGGAGAGGGAAAUGGAAGAAUACCCUGAAUAUUACCAUGAGUUAGCUGAAUGUUGACAUAGAUGGAGUCCUUGUCUAUAAUUCUACUGCUGAUGAGUGUUGUUUAGAAGGAUGGCCUUGAUACAUUUGUCCAUGACACAAACACAAGGUACAUUUUAUUGUGACACAGCCAUAGGGCCAAUCAAGAGAACAGGAUGUGAUGUAAAUACAAAUGUCGAUAUCUACAGUGUCUUCAGAAAGUGUUCACACCACUUAGUUUUCUCCACGUUUUGUUGUGUUGCAGCCUGAUUUUAAAAUGCAUUAAAUUGAGAAUUUGUGUCACUUAUAUUCAGCCAGUUCCCCAUAAUGUCAAAGUGGAAUUUUGUUUGUUGAAAAUGUUUGAUAUAAUACCAAUUAAA